rnacentral:rRNA from 1 species
AACGCGAAGAACCUUACCCAGGCUUGACAUGCACUGGACAGUUCCAGAAAUGGAAUCUCCCUUCGGGGCCGGUGCACAGGUGCUGCAUGGCUGUCGUCAGCUCGUGCCGUGAGGUGUUUGGUUAAGUCCAGCAACGAGCGCAACCCUUAUCAUUAGUUGCCAACGCGUAAAGGCGGGAACUCUAAUGAGACUGCCCGGGUUAACCGGGAGGAAGGUGAGGAUGACGUCAAGUCCGCAUGGCCCUUAUGUCUGGGGCUACACACGUGCUACAAUGGUCGGUACAGAAGGCAGCGAAACCGCGAGGCGGAGCAAAUCCCUAAAACCGAUCUCAGUUCAGAUUGUAGUCUGCAACUCGACUACAUGAAGACGGAAUUGCUAGUAAUGGCAGGUCAGCAACACUGCCGUGAAUACGUUCCCGGGCCUUGUA